rnacentral:rRNA from 1 species
CCUACGGGAGGCUGCAGUCGAGGAUCUUCGGCAAUGGGCGCAAGCCUGACCGAGCGACGCCGCGUGCGCGACGAAGGCCUUCGGGUUGUAAAGCGCUGUCGGGGGGGAGGAAAGCCGCAAGGCCUGACCGACCCCCGGAGGAAGCACGGGCUAAGUUCGUGCCAGCAGCCGCGGUAAGACGAACCGUGCGAACGUUGUUCGGAAUCACUGGGCUUAAAGGGCGCGUAGGCGGGCGACCGAGUCCGGGGUGAAAGCCCCCGGCCCAACCGGGGAAGGGCCUCGGAUACCGGUCGCCUCGAGGGGGGUAGGGGCACGCGGAACUUCCGGUGGAGCGGUGAAAUGCGUAGAGAUCGGAAGGAACGCCGGUGGCGAAAGCGGCGUGCUGGGCCCCCCCUGACGCUGAGGCGCGAAAGCCAGGGGAGCGAACGGGAUUAGAUACC